rnacentral:rRNA from 1 species
GGGGGGGGGGGGGGGGGGGCUGGGCGGGUGCGGGGCGAGGGGGGAGGCCCUGCUGUUGUGGGGUGCUCGAGUGGCGAACGGGUGAGUAACACGUGAGUAACCUGCGCUUGACUUUGGGAUAACGUCAGGAAACUGGGGCUAAUAGCGGAUAGGAGCUCCUGCUGCAUGGUGGGGGUUGGAAAGUUUCGGCGGUUGGGGAUGGACUCGCGGCUUAUCAGCUUGUUGGUGGGGUAGUGGCUUACCAAGGCUUUGACGGGUAGCCGGCCUGAGAGGGUGACCGGCCACAUUGGGACUGAGAUACGGCCCAGACUCCUACGGGAGGCAGCAGUGGGGAAUAUUGCACAAUGGGCGGAAGCCUGAUGCAGCAACGCCGCGUGCGGGAUGACGGCCUUCGGGUUGUAAACCGCUUUCGCCUGUGACGAAGCGUGAGUGACGGUAAUGGGUAAAGAAGCACCGGCUAACUACGUG